GGGUUGUGAGGUUAAGCGACUAAGCGUACACGGUGGAUGCCCUGGCAGUCAGAGGCGAUGAAGGGCGUGCUAAUCUGCGAUAAGCGCCGGUAAGGUGAUAUGAACCGUUAUAACCGGCGAUACCCGAAUGGGGAAACCCAGUGUGAUUCGUCACACUAUCAUUAACUGAAUCCAUAGGUUAAUGAGGCGAACCGGGGGAACUGAAACAUCUAAGUACCCCGAGGAAAAGAAAUCAACCGAGAUUCCCCCAGUAGCGGCGAGCGAACGGGGAGGAGCCCAGAGCCUGAAUCAGCAUGUGUGUUAGUGGAAGCGUCUGGAAAGUCGCGCGAUACAGGGUGACAGCCCCGUACACAAAAGCGCAUGUGUUGUGAGCUCGAUGAGUAGGGCGGGACACGUGGUAUCCUGUCUGAAUAUGGGGGGACCAUCCUCCAAGGCUAAAUACUCCUGACUGACCGAUAGUGAACCAGUACCGUGAGGGAAAGGCGAAAAGAACCCCGGCGAGGGGAGUGAAAAAGAACCUGAAACCGUGUACGUACAAGCAGUGGGAGCACAGGUUUACCUGUGUGACUGCGUACCUUUUGUAUAAUGGGUCAGCGACUUAUAUUCUGUAGCAAGGUUAACCGUAUAGGGGAGCCGGAGGGAAACCGAGUCUUAAUUGGGCGUUAAGUUGCAGGGUAUAGACCCGAAACCCGGUGAUCUAGCCAUGGGCAGGUUGAAGGUUGGGUAACACUAACUGGAGGACCGAACCGACUAAUGUUGAAAAAUUAGCGGAUGACCUGUGGCUGGGGGUGAAAGGCCAAUCAAACCGGGAGAUAGCUGGUUCUCCCCGAAAGCUAUUUAGGUAGCGCCUCGUGAAUUCAUCUCCGGGGGUAGAGCACUGUUUCGGCUAGGGGGCCAUCCCGGCUUACCAACCCGAUGCAAACUGCGAAUACCGGAGAAUGUUAUCACGGGAGACACACGGCGGGUGCUAACGUCCGUCGUGAAGAGGGAAACAACCCAGACCGCCAGCUAAGGUCCCAAAGUCAUGGUUAAGUGGGAAACGAUGUGGGAAGGCCCAGACAGCCAGGAUGUUGGCUUAGAAGCAGCCAUCAUUUAAAGAAAGCGUAAUAGCUCACUGGUCGAGUCGGCCUGCGCGGAAGAUGUAACGGGGCUAAACCAUGCACCGAAGCUGCGGCAGCGACACUGUGUGUUGUUGGGUAGGGGAGCGUUCUGUAAGCCUGUGAAGGUGUGUCGUGAGGCAUGCUGGAGGUAUCAGAAGUGCGAAUGCUGACAUAAGUAACGAUAAAGCGGGUGAAAAGCCCGCUCGCCGGAAGACCAAGGGUUCCUGUCCAACGUUAAUCGGGGCAGGGUGAGUCGACCCCUAAGGCGAGGCCGAAAGGCGUAGUCGAUGGGAAACGGGUUAAUAUUCCCGUACUUGGUGUUACUGCGAAGGGGGGACGGAGAAGGCUAUGUUGGCCGGGCGACGGUUGUCCCGGUUUAAGCGUGUAGGUGUGUGUUCCAGGUAAAUCCGGUUCACUUUAACACUGAGGCGUGACGACGAGGCACUACGGUGCUGAAGCAACAAAUGCCCUGCUUCCAGGAAAAGCCUCUAAGCAUCAGGUAACAUCAAAUCGUACCCCAAACCGACACAGGUGGUCAGGUAGAGAAUACCAAGGCGCUUGAGAGA
rnacentral:rRNA from 1 species